GCACAUCUGACUUCAACUAGAGACCAGGCCAUCUCUAGGAACAGUGACAUCCAGAUUACAAAUGAUUCCAGGGUUUGUAGCAUUUCUUCCUUCAAAACCCUAAAUCUCUUUCUUGGCACACCAUGCCAAGAAUUUAUUUUCAACUGUGCUUCAAUAUAUACUUCAAUCCAGCCUGCUAAACAUAACUGUAAACUUUAUUACAGCACAAGCUGGCACGCAUGAAUCCCUACCAUAUUAAAUUACUUAAUUGAGCAAACAUACCAGGAAACACCCCCACCUUCAUGCUCAUCACGCCUUUCCCUCUAACAACUUGCACACUGGUUUACUAUUUUAUACCAGGAACCUGAUAGCGGACACACAGAAUGCCGCAGCUGUUUACUCACCUACAAAAUACUUAUGUUUCACUGUUGUCAGUUACGAGCUCACAACAACUGAGAGCAAAAAACACUUGUGAGACAUUGAGCUAACGUUUGUAGCAAUUAUCACAGAACAAAGCUGUCAAUUGAAGAGACAGGUGCUUGCUUACAUUACAUGCUCUUAGAAGGGUCAAAGACAACUCGGUUUCUACUUGAUCUCAUGAGCAAGCUUAGGUCCUAUGGACAAGUCCAUCCAGAAGAGCAGACACCACGCUUGGGGGAAGAGCAGCCUUCAACUAAGCUGUGAGGGACAACUUCCAAAAGGAAGAACUGAGCUUAUCCUGAUGGCUGAACAUCCCCUUAUGGCUUAACCCCGUUACUAAAGCAGGCUGCAGACGGGGCGAGAAAGGAAAGGAACCAGAGCACUCCUCUCCAGACAGAGGAGCCACACACUGAGUCAGGCCCCAGCGCUGCAAGCACGGGAGCCUCUCCGGGAAGCUGGACUAGGAGUAGGGAUCAUUCAAAACGUGUCACACAUCAAAAAAAAAAAA